UUGCAUAUCCAAAAAGCGGAGGAAAAGAAACUAACAAGGAUUCCCCUAGUAACUGCGAGUGAAGCGGGAAAAGCUCAAAUUUAAAAUCUGGCGGUCUCUGGCCGUCCGAGUUGUAAUCUAGAGAAGUAAUGCCCGUGCUGGACCGUGUAUAAGUCUCCUGGGAUGGGGCGUCAUAGAGGGUGAGAAUCCCGUCUUUGACACGGACUACCAGUGCAUUGUGGUAUGCUCUCAAAGAGUCGAGUUGUUUGGGAAUGCAGCUCAAAAUGGGUGGUAAAUUCCAUCUAAAGCUAAAUAUUGGCGAGAGACCGAUAGCGAACAAGUACCGUGAGGGAAAGAUGAAAAGAACUUUGGAAAGAGAGUUAAACAGUACGUGAAAUUGCUGAAAGGGAAACGCUUGAAGUCAGUCGCGUUGGCCGGGGAUCAGCCUUGCUUUUGCAUGGUGUACUUUCUGGUUGACGGGUCAGCAUCAAUUUURACCGCUGGAAAAAGACCUGGGGAAUGUGGCAGCUUCGGCUGUGUUAUAGCCCCUAGUCGCAUACAGUGGUUGGGAUUGAGGAACUCAGCACGCCGCAAGGCCGGGUUCGACCACGUCGUGCUUAGGAUGCUGGCAUAAUGGCUUUAAGCGACCCGUCUUGAAACACGGACCA
rnacentral:rRNA from 1 species